ensembl:antisense Gm17178 predicted gene 17178
UUUGAGAGAAGCGCGACUCUUUAUUCCUGCUCGGGGUGGGUGGGGGUAGGGUCCUGUGGCUGGUGAUGGGCAUCUCCAGGCUGGUAGCUCUCACCUCUUGCUGGCUCUUCAGCCACUUGGGCACUUUGCCCAGACUUCUCUUCACAGGCUGGGCUGUCCCUUGGAUGGGCUCUGGGGGCCCCAGUGCCCCAUCCUCAGCAAUUGGCUCAGACUCCAGGGACACAGGGGCCAGAGAAAGACUUGGAUGAAUUGGCCGAAGGUGAUGUUAGAGGUCUCAAGGACGCAGACGGGCCCCCCAGCCGCUGGCCCCCCCCAGAGAAGGGAACAAAGGGGGCCGAUGCAGGCUCACUGGUGCUU